rnacentral:rRNA from 1 species
UGGGGAAUUUUGGACAAUGGGCGCGAGCCUGAUCCAGCCAUGCCGCGUGCGGGAAGAAGGCCUUCGGGUUGUAAACCGCUUUUGUACGGAACGAAACGGCUCUGUCUAAUACAUGGGGCUAAUGACGGUACCGUAAGAAUAAGCACCGGCUAACUACGUGCCAGCAGCCGCGGUAAUACGUAGGGUGCAAGCGUUAAUCGGAAUUACUGGGCGUAAAGCGUGCGCAGGCGGUGAUGUAAGACAGGUGUGAAAUCCCCGGGCUUAACCUGGGAAUUGCAUUUGUGACUGCAUCGCUGGAGUGCGGCAGAGGGGGAUGGAAUUCCGCGUGUAGCAGUGAAAUGCGUAGAUAUGCGGAGGAACACCGAUGGCGAAGGCAGCCCCCUGGGUCAAGAUUGACGCUCAUGCACGAAAGCGUGGGGAGCAAACA